GGAUGUGAGGGUGACCUGGGUGAGGUAUCUGUCAACCUAUUGAUCAUCAGGGUUUAUUUGAGUGAUGUAGCUGGCUAUCUAAGUGUCACCUUUCUCCUACACAUUUCCUUGUGUGUACCUGGAGAAACUACAUGCUUUAUCAAAGAGAACAACUGCCCCAAUAGAGAAGGAUAGUUCUUUGGUGUUGGUUAUAUGCAUUGUAUAUUAGUUGUUGGGAUCAUCUGUUUAUGCAUAUUAUUCAACCAUAAAGAAGAAUAGAAUCGUGCUUU
rnacentral:snRNA from 1 species